rnacentral:rRNA from 1 species
AUUGAACGCUGGCGGCAGGCCUAACACAUGCAAGUCGAACGAGUGGCGGACGGGUGAGUAAUGUCUGGGAAACUGCCUGAUGGAGGGGGAUAACUACUGGAAACGGUAGCUAAUACCGCAUACCAUCAGAUGUGCCCAGAUGGGCUUAGCUUGUUGGUGGGGUAACGGCUCAACAAGGCGACGAUCCCUAGCUGGUCUGAGAGGAUGACCAGCCACACUGGAACGGGUACACGGUCCAGACUCCUACGGGAGGCAGCAGUGGGGAAUAUGGGACAAUGGGCGCAAUCCGGAUACAGCCAUGCCGCGUGGAUGAAGAAGGCCUUCGGGUUGUAAAGUACUGUCAGCGGGGAGGCGUUACCCGCAGAAGAAGCACCGGCUAACUCCGUGCCAGCGGCCGCGGUAAUAC